rnacentral:rRNA from 1 species
UACAGAGGGUGCAAGCGUUAAUCGGAAUUACUGGGCGUAAAGCGUGCGCAGACGGUUGCGUAAGUCAGAUGUGAAAGCCCCGGGCUCAACCUGGGAAUGGCGAUGGAUACUGGCUCGCUAGAGUGUGAUAGAGGAUGGCGGAAUUCCGGGUGUAGUGGUGGAAUGCGUAGAGAUCCGGGGAAGAACAGCAGCGGCGAAGGCGGCAUCCUGGACUCGACUCCUGACGCUGAGGAGCGAAAGCGUGGGGAGCGAACUCGG